UGACGAGUCCUUUACUGACGCUAAAGCUCGAAGGUGCGGGUAUCGAACAGGAUUAGAAACCCUAGUAGUCCG
rnacentral:rRNA from 1 species